UCGCUACUACCGAUUGAAUGGCUCAGUGAGGCGUUCGGACUGGCCCAGGGAGGUCGGCAACGACCACCCAGGGCCGGAAAGUUCGUCAAACUUGGUCAUUUAGAGGAAGUAAAAGUCGUAACAAGGUCUCCGUAGGUGAACCUGCGGAGGGAUCAUU
rnacentral:rRNA from 1 species